GUCCUAAACCCUCAAGCCAAUGUCUUCUUUAGGCAUUUGUUGCCUUAGCCUAAGAAUUCAUCACCUACUGGCGAUCAACCUCUUCCUUCUUAACUAGACUGGUCCUUGGAAAAGAGUUUUUUGGCUCUACAACAAAGAGACUUCAAUAAAAUUUGAGAGGUUGGCAAGUGGUGACAAUGAUAGGAUUAUAUGAUGAGAAAAUGAAGGCAAAGAGGAUGAAGUGGCUUGCCCAUGGUUAUAUGGCUAGGAAGUGUCUGAUACCAAAUUUGAAGUCAGGAAGAUCAGUCUUCCUGACUCCAGACCUGGCACACUAUCCACUAUGCUACCUAGCUGUACAAGCUAAGAAGUAAACAAAAUUUAGCAAACCAACAAGGAGCCCCUGGAUUGCCAAGGUAACAUCCAUUUUACAAGUGCAUGGGAG
rnacentral:lncRNA from 1 species